GCAGGGAGAAGCAAUAGUGAGAGCAGGUCUGUAGGGGAGUGAUGGUGGGGACACAGACCAGAGUGACAAUCAGAGAGGAAGACUGAGAAGAGAAACUGAGGUUCACAGAAGUUAAAUGAGUUGUCUAAGAUGACAAGUUACAUUGUGGAGCCAGGACCCAGAACUUUGGCCAAUGGCUGUGAUUCUUCCACAAAGCCACGUGGACACUUUCAUCUGGUCGUGUUUACUGGUUUCAUUUUUUCACGCACCCAGGGUGCCUAUUAAUCGACUUCAUUCAAUUUGCAAGAGUGUCUGCUCUACUGUUUGGAUAGUCUGUAGACCGCAAUGACAGCUAGGAUGUCCUUGAGGCAGAAGUGUCCUCUUGUGUCUUCAGCCUCACGGAAGCCAGUACCCCAGCCACGUGGCUGCGACCCAAGGGUUAACGCCGCCACACUUCAGAGCAGUUGACAAAUUGCUCACAGCUGUCUGGGGUGAAAGAACUCAUCUCUGAGAACUGACAUUUUUCUCCUUCAGUUUUUAAAGAGACAAGUGUGCCUCCUUUUUCUCUUCACUUCUCACGACUGAUCUGCUUUGAAGCGGUCCCUGCACAUGCUGGUUUGUCUCACCAGCGUCUUCACGCUCGUUUUCUUCUCAGACUUAACCUCCGUUUUUAACCAGGACACCUUCUCACUCCAUCUAUCCUGUUUCAAAUGACACAAAAGAAGAGAUUUCAUUACAUCUCCGCCGAAGCGAGAUACUCUGCCACUUGGAAAUGCUUCUCGAUUAUUGCAUUUAAUUGGAAUGGGUGGCCCGUUAGCACGGAUGGUGGAAGGGAAUGACUUCUGCCUCCAACAUGAAAAUGUGUUGUGUGAACUUCUUAAUGUGGAUGACUUAUCUCAUGAUUGAGGUUAACGGAGGUCAGUGGUUUUCAGAGUGUUGAUAUCAGGAAUCACAAAGAAAGCUAACAUAUAUGGGAAUAUAAUUAAUAAAUAGAUAAAAGAGAGUUUUGAAGAUCGCCAGCUCUAAUGAACAAAUAGAAAAGAUCCUAAUUUUAUUCUCACCCAAGUGCUCGCACUAACCUUGAAAUGCCACUCAUGGGGUGUCAGUUUACCAAGACAAUCUUUAAAAGCUUGCUAAAUAAAAAUUGUUUAUUUGUGGCAUUAUUUUUUUUAAUUCCUCAAAACUACUGCUGCCACAGGAAACCAAAUUUCUUUUUUUUUUCAAGCUGGUUAUUGUAAAGUAUCUAGUUUUUAAUUUACUCAUGCUGUAUGAAGUCUACUAAACCACAAUAAUUUAUAAUUUAUGUGGCCCACAACUGAGUACAGUUUAAGGAACAAAUUGUCAAGAAGCCACAUGACAAUAAUUGAACUAUUCCGUGUCACACUGUGAAUUUCCAAAGUACUCAACAAGUUGUUU